rnacentral:rRNA from 1 species
UCUGGUGACUCGUCGCUGGGGACACACCCGUUCUCAUUCCGAACACGGCAGUUAAGCUCAGUAGAGGCGAUGAUACUCGUAAGGGGAAAGUAGCUAGUCGCCAGUU